ACGGGCGUUACUUGGAGAUUCGAAGGCGACUCUUAGCUUUCACUUAUUUUUGCCCCGAUUUGAAUUUCUUUCACUUUCUGCGCCGCUGCAAUUCUUCGCUUUUCUCCUUCAUUGAUGCAGCUUCUGAGUAAAAUUGUUGGAAUCUAGAGAUAAAUCUGAGGUUUUCUGGAGUUUGUUUGAUUGAUUGAAAGAUGUCGCCAAUGAAACUGCCACCGGCAAAAUCAUCGACAUCGACGCAGUACGACCACACAAAUGAUCCGUGGUUCAAGAAUCGAUUUAGUGCUCAAGAGGAUGAGAAGGCUUUGGCUGCUAAGGAGUAUAAUGUACCUCCCUAUUUAAAACGGGACGGGUAUAAACCUCGAAAACCCGAAGAUUUUGGCGAUGGUGGAGCGUUCCCUGAGAUUCAUAUUGCUCAAUAUCCCUUGGGAAUGGGCAGGGAUAAGACACCAACUUCAAAGAUAUUGCCUGUUACUGUGGAUAGUAAAGGGAAUGUGGCAUUUGAUAAUAUAGUGAAGCAGAAUGAGAAUGCGUCGAAGAUUGUUUAUUCGCAACAUAGGGAUCUUGUACCGAAGAUUUUGAGGGGGGAGGAGUCUGAUUCGGAGGAAGAAUCGGAGGAGCUGCAGAAAGAGAUUGAAGAGACUACGGAAGCUACUAAAGCUGCUAUUGAGAGGAUAGUUAAUGUGAGGUUGAGUGCUGCUCAGCCCAAGAAUGUGCCUAAGCAUUCGUCUGAUUCCAAGUUUAUUAAGUAUAAGCCGUCGCAGCAAGCUCAGGCUUUUAAUUCUGGUGCGAAAGAGAGAAUUAUUAGGAUGGUAGAGAUGCCGGUGGACCCUCUUGAACCUCCCAAGUUCAAGCACAAGAGGGUUCCCAGGGCUUCGGGGUCACCACCUGUGCCGGUGAUGCAUUCACCACCUCGUCCUGUGACUGUGAAAGAUCAGCAGGACUGGAAGAUUCCACCUUGCAUUUCGAACUGGAAGAAUCCUAAGGGUUACACCAUUCCAUUGGAUAAGCGACUUGCAGCUGAUGGAAGGGGCCUUCAAGACGUUCAGAUCAAUGACAAUUUUGCAAAGCUUUCUGAAUCCCUGUAUGUUGCAGAGCAGAAGGCGAGAGAAGCUGUGGCAAUGAGAUCAAAGGUGCAAAAGGAGAUGGCAAUGAAGGAAAAGGAAAAGAAGGAGAUGGAGCUGCGUGCUUUGGCUGCUAAAGCACGUUCUGAGAGGACUGGUAUUGCAGCUCCUGUGGCUGCACCUGCUACAUCUGCUAGAAAUAUGGAUAUGGACGAUGACAUGAGAUCUGAUUAUGUUGGCAGAGGAGAGAGAGAAGUUACAAGGGAGGCAAAAGAGGAGAGGGAAGAGAGGUUGGGGCGUGAGAAAAUUCGUGAGGAACGGCGACGAGAGAGGGAGAGGGAGAGAAGGUUGGAGGCCAAAGAUGCUGCUACGGGAAAGAAGAGUAAGAUUACAAGAGAUAGGGAUCGUGAUAUUAGUGAGAAGGUUGCUCUUGGUAUGGCGUCCGUUGGGUCUGGAAGAGGUGAAGUCAUGUAUGAUCAGCGUUUGUUCAACCAAGAGAAGGGGAUGGAAUCUGGUUUUGCUGCUGAUGACCAGUACAAUGUAUAUGACAAGGGCUUAUUCACCGCCCAAGCUACACUUUCCACUCUAUACCAGCCGAAGAAAGAUAUGGAUAAUGAAAUGUAUGGCGGAGCUGAUGAACAGCUUGAGAAGAUUAGGAACACGGAGAGGUUCAAACCCGACAAGGGAUUCACUGGAACUGCAGAGAAGAGUGGUGAGAGAGAGAGACCUGUUGAGUUUGAGCAAGUUGCUGAGGAGGCUGAUCCAUUUGGUUUGGAUCAGUUUUUGACUGAAGUGAAGAAGGGUAAGAAAGCCAUGGACAAAAUUGGUGGCGGAGGUACAAUGAAAGCAAGCGCUGGGUCUACACGAGAAGGCUAUGAUGGUGGCUCCGGGAGGAGCAGGAUUGACUUCAACAAGGGGCAUUAAUUCUGCAUUCGUAUUUUUUUCUUGUGAGUAGCAAUGAAUCAAAAGACUCUUCAUGUAUUUGUGGACGAUCUUAUGCAGAAAUCUUAAUCAUGAGGCAAUCUGAGAAAACAAGUAAUUCCCAGGAAGAUUUUGUUGUGGACACAUGAAUUGAUAAUUCAGCUGCAAUUAAGACAUAUUGAUUGCUUGCCUCUGCUUUUCAUUAAUUUUGUGAUAGCAAGUACUAGCCUUCAGAAGGAUGAUGUUAAGUGCUUAUCAUAUGAUGGAACUGGGCCGUCUGGUGUAAUUUAGUCUGCAAAACUGAUGAGCAGCCUGUGUCACAACAUCGAGCUUCCAGUGGUGACUCUCAGCUCACAAGUGGUUCCUUAGACUUGAAAAAUGGUGAUGCCAAGAGAUUGUAACAUAUAUAGGUGUUGUAGCUCAAGUUCAUUGGACCUCUCACGUCCUCCACCUGGUACCUUAACUUCUUUUUAACUAUUUUGUGAGCAUUGUGGAUAUAGUUCUUACUUCUAACAAUCUUGUCUGUCCAUACUUUGGAUUACUGAA